UACGAAGGGGGCUAGCGUUGCUCGGAAUCACUGGGCGUAAAGGGUGCGUAGGCGGAUCUUUAAGUCAGGGGUGAAAUCCUGGAGCUCAACUCCAGAACUGCCUUUGAUACUGAGGAUCUCGAGUUCGGGGAGAGGUGAGUAGAACUGCGAGUGUAGAGGUGAAAUUCGUAGAUAUUCGCAAGAACACCAGUGGCGAAGGCGG
rnacentral:rRNA from 1 species